GUAAACAGUGAAUAUUGUACACACUAGAAUUCAUUGCAACACCACAGCAGAAGUAAUUGGACGUUCUUUUUUUUUCUGUAUGUAGUCACCGAAGUCCGUAUGCGAUUCUCGACGCCGUAGGUACCUCGUCUGGUCGGCAGAUAAUAGGUCGACCGUAACAUUUCGACGGCCGCCACUACGCGAGAAAUAUUUGUGCUUGUAUUCAAUAUUAAUAGGAUUACUGUUCUCAUCUAGCGAGAUAUACUCGCUAGCACCCGGUUUAAUUCCGUGGUUGCAUGUUCUCCUAUUUCACGGAUCACUUGUUCGUUUAGUUGAAAAUCAUAGUCUCUCCGGUGGGCAUCCCAAUAGUUUUCAGGUACCGAAUCGCCGCCAAAUACUUUAUUAUAAACCAGAUGGAAAGUUUUUUAAGCGCAGAGUCUCCUAAAAACGAGCUGUUCUCCAAAUUCAGACUGAAAGUACUCGAGUUCCUACCAACACUAAUAUUGGGUCUGGUAUUAUUUCAUGACUUGGCUAAUACAUUAGCAGAUUCUCAAGCUUUACGGAUUUUAUGAGGUAGCUGCCUUACAAGGAAAAAGCGUUACGUAAGCGACAUUCUCAUGGAAUGCCCCUGUUCAGGUUUGGACUGGUAAGAGUCAAAACAUUUUUGCUGUCUUGUUCUAUGCCCCAGAAAAGUGUCAAUGUAGUUCUAUGGGAUGAAAUGAUGUUUUUAUUUUUUCUGAUAUUAAAUGACGAGAAUGUGAUUCAAUAAACAUUGUCUUCUGUCAAAAAAAGUCACUACUUUUUCACAUGACAGACAUGAAGACAGAAAACAAAAUCGCGUCAGUUUGGUCAGAACCAAGACAAUGAAAAAUAAUUUGACCCAAAUUCGAGUCGAUUCUUAGCCUGAAUUUAAG